ACGGGUGAGUAAUAUAUCGGAACGUGCCCAAUCGUGGGGGAUAACGUAGAGAAAUUUACGCUAAUACCGCAUACGAUCUAAGGAUGAAAGCGGGGGAUCGCAAGACCUCGCGCGAUUGGAGCGGCUGAUAUCAGAUUAGGUUGUUGGUGAGGUAAAAGCUCACCAAGCCGACGAUCUGUAGCUGGUUUGAGAGAACGACCAGCCACACUGGGACUGAGACACGGCCCAGACUCCUACGGGAGGCAGCAGUGGGGAAUUUUGGACAAUGGGCGAAAGCCUGAUCCAGCAAUGCCGCGUGCAGGAAGAAGGCCUUCGGGUUGUAAACUGCUUUUGUACGGAACGAAACGGUCUGCCCUAAUACGGCGGGCUAAUGACGGUACCGUAAGAAUAAGCACCGGCUAACUACGUGCCAGCAGCCGCGGUAAUACGUAGGGUGCGAGCGUUAAUCGGAAUUACUGGGCGUAAAGCGUGCGCAGGCGGUUAUGUAAGACAGUUGUGAAAUCCCCGGGCUCAACCUGGGAAUUGCAUCUGUGACUGCAUAGCUAGAGUACGGUAGAGGGGGAUGGAAUUCCGCGUGUAGCAGUGAAAUG
rnacentral:rRNA from 5 species